AGGCCUCUCUCCAUAGGAGGACCAGGGUGGAUGGGGGAUCUCCUGUAUGUCUGCCAUUGGCCCCUCAGUCAGCUGGGAACUCCUGGGAGGUAGCAAAUGCUGGGGACCGGGCCUGGGCCUCGGCAGGGGUCUCUAAACCUCCCGGGGUCCUUAGUGCACCAGUUCUGCUUCAGGACUCGGUUUCCCUAAGUGUCAGGUACUAAGUUGAGCCAAAUUGGGGAUUUUCAGGUGUUUAUAGCAACAAAACUCUAUGCCCAUUUGAAACUCAAAGCAGUCAAAACAGAGCUGCUCAGUAGAUCUGGGGAGUGGAGACCCCAGUGACCAACAGGAGAGCCCCCUCCCAGUACCAUGAGACCUUAGCGCUCAGAGGAGCCCAGUGAGAACACUUCUCCAGGCCAUUUGAAUCUCGGGUUUGCAAAGAAAAGGGAUUUGCAUUUAGACCCCUCACAUUAUUCCUAAAUUUAUCCCUCGUUCUUUCCCCUCCCCUGAGAGAGAGCCCUGAAAAUCUUCAGGAACUCAAUAGUCAAGACAAGCCCUUGAGCAGAGAACUGAUGAUCAAGGUUAACAAGCAGAGGGAUCUGUUCUGCCCAUGAGCAGGUGGGGUGCCGUUUGUGGGCAGGAGGCCCUGGUCAUGAGACACAGUGGUGUUGGCUGGGCUGUUCCAGGAGGAGUUGCCGAGCUGGCGCCAUCAACAGGUCUCUGGCUUCCAUGAGGGGCCCUUCACGUUUGCCCCCCCAGAGAGCAACCCCCAGAGAGUGCAGGAGAAGCAGCAGCAGCAGCAGGUGAGUGUGCCUGUGGGGGAGGGGCUCUGCGCUCCCAGCUGGAGGCCUCAAAUCAAGAGAGGAGGGUCCUUUCUCUUGGUGCC